rnacentral:lncRNA from 1 species
CCCACCCCACCUCAGGCCUCUUGGCUAUGCAGCUACUUGGUUCAAUACUACAGAGGCACAGGGGGACAUGAAGGCCAUUGUCUUGAGAUGCAGAAGUGAACAAAAGAGAGAAGGUGUCUCUCAGACUCCCUGAUGAAAACUGAAGCCCACUGGAAAAGUGAAGAGAAUCUCUAGAAUAAAGGCAAACCAGACCACCGUGCUUGAUUCCCAUAGAAAAAUGAAGGAUAGAGUAUGCUUCUCAUAGGGGGAAGAAAAAGACUUUUCUACCUUCUUAGUCUAAAUUUUCCAGAGACACAAAAGAGGAGUUCCAGAACAGGUUCAGAAAACAGCAAAAAAAUGAUGGGAUAAGCAAGUGUGAAGGAAGGGGGGAGGGUUCUAAGGGGAUCCAACUCAGGACCUUGCGCUUGCGAGGAAGGCGGCAGAACCACUGAGCUACACCCCCAGCCCUGUGAUAUAUCUUUUAAACAUUCAUUGUACCAUUUGAUAACACCUCAUAUGCAGCAUUGUUACCUUAAUUUGUAUAUUAACCAGUGUUAAUAAACAGUAUGAGUUCAUACCCUUUUUC